rnacentral:rRNA from 1 species
UGUAGGCGGCUUGGUAAGUCAGAUGUGAAAGCCCUGGGCUCAACCCAGGAAGUGCAUUUGAAACUACCAGACUUGAGUACGGGAGAGGAGGGGGGAAUUCCCGGUGUAGAGGUGAAAUUCGUAGAUAUCGGGAGGAAUACCGGUGGCGAAGGCGCCCCUCUGGACCGAUACUGACGCUGAGACGCGAAAGCGUGGGGAGCAAACA